UACGUAGGGUGCGAGCGUUAAUCGGAAUUACUGGGCGUAAAGCGUGCGCAGGCGGUUUGUUAAGACAGAUGUGAAAUCCCCGGGCUUAACCUGGGAACUGCAUUUGUGACUGGCAAGCUAGAGUAUGGCAGAGGGGGGUAGAAUUCCACGUGUAGCAGUGAAAUGCGUAGAGAUGUGGAGGAAUACCGAUGGCGAAGGCAGCCCCCUGGGCUAACACUGACGCUCAUGCACGAAAGCGUGGGGAGCAAACAGG
rnacentral:rRNA from 1 species